rnacentral:rRNA from 1 species
GCCCCUCGCGGGGCCGGCGGGCGGCGUCUCCGUCGCACGCCGUGCGACCUCUACUACUCACUCAGACGACUCUCGGCAACGGAUAUCUCGGCUCUCGCAUCGAUGAAGAACGUAGCGAAAUGCGAUACUUGGUGUGAAUUGCAGAAUCCCGCGAACCAUCGAGUCUUUGAACGCAAGUUGCG